GACGAACGCUGGCGGCGUGCUUAACACAUGCAAGUCGAACGGUGAAGCGCCUUCCUUUUUGGUGGGUGUGGAUGAGUGGCGCACGGGUGAGUAACACGUGAGUAACCUGCCCCCUUCUUCUGGAUAACCGCAUGAAAGUGUGGCUAAUACGGGAUAUUCUGGGUCUGUCGCAUGAUGGGUCUGGGAAAGAUAUUGUUUCGGUGGGGGAUGGGCUCGCGGCCUAUCAGCUUGUUGGUGGGGUGAUGGCCUACCAAGGCGGUGACGGGUAGCCGGCCUGGGAGGGUGGACGGUCACACUGGGACUGGGGCACGGCCCAGACUCCUACGGGAGGCAGCAGUGGGGAAUAUUGCACAAUGGGCGCAAGCCUGAUGCAGCGACGCCGCGUGAGGGAUGGAGGCCUUCGGGUUGUGAACCUCUUUCGCCAGUGAAGCAGGCCUGCCUCGUUUGUGGGUGGGUUGACGGUAGCUGGAUAAGAAGCGCCGGCUAACUACGUG
rnacentral:rRNA from 1 species